rnacentral:rRNA from 1 species
CAGUCGCCGCGGGAAUACGAAGGGUGCAAGCGUUAAUCGGAAUUACUGGGCGUAAAGCGUGCGUAGGCGGUGAGUUAAGUCUGCUGUGAAAUCCCCGGGCUCAACCUGGGAAUGGCAGUGGAUACUGGCUCGCUAGAGUGUGUCAGAGGAUGGUGGAAUUCCCGGUGUAGCGGUGAAAUGCGUAGAGAUCGGGAGGAACAUCAGUGGCGAAGGCGGCCAUCCGGGACAACACUGACGCUGAGGCACGAAAGCGUGGGGAGCAAACAGGAUUAGAUACCCCCGUAGUCCCUGUCUCUUAUAU